UACAGAGGUCUCAAGCGUUGUUCGGGUUCAUUGGGCGUAAAGGGUGCGUAGGUGGCGCGCUAAGUCAGGUGUGAAAUUUCGGAGCUUAACUCCGAAACUGCAUUUGAUACUGGCGUGCUUGAGGACUGGAGAGGAGACUGGAAUUCAUGGUGUAGCAGUGAAAUGCGUAGAGAUCAUGAGGAAGACCAGUGGCGAAGGCGGGUCUCUGGACAGUUCCUGACACUGAGGCACGAAGGCCAGGGGAGCAAACGGG
rnacentral:rRNA from 1 species